AGUGAACGCUGGCGGUAGGCCUAACACAUGCAAGUCGAACGGCAGCACAGUAAGAGCUUGCUCUUACGGGUGGCGAGUGGCGGACGGGUGAGGAAUACAUCGGAAUCUACUUUUUCGUGGGGGAUAACGUAGGGAAACUUACGCUAAUACAGCAUACGACCUACGGGUGAAAGCAGGGGAUCUUCGGACCUUGCGCGAUUGAAUGAGCCGAUGUCGGAUUAGCUAGUUGGCGGGGUAAAGGCCCACCAAGGCGACGAUCCGUAGCUGGUCUGAGAGGAUGAUCAGCCGCACUGGAACUGAGACACGGUCCAGACUACUACGGGAGGGAGCAGUGGGGAAUAUUGGACAAUGGGCGCAAGCCUGAUCCAGCCAUACCGCGUGGGUGAAGAAGGCCUUCGGGUUGUAAAGCCCUUUUGUUGGGAAAGAAAAGCAGCAGGUUAAUACCCAGCUGUUCUGACGGUACCCAAAGAAUAAGCACCGGCUAACUUCGUG
rnacentral:rRNA from 1 species